UGUAUAAUGGGUCAGCGACUUAUAUUCUGUAGCAAGGUUAACCGAAUAGGGGAGCCGAAGGGAAACCGAGUCUUAACUGGGCGUUAAGUUGCAGGGUAUAGACCCGAAACCCGGUGAUCUAGCCAUGGGCAGGUUGAAGGUUGGGUAACACUAACUGGAGGACCGAACCGACUAAUGUUGAAAAAUUAGCGGAUGACUUGUGGCUGGGGGUGAAAGGCCAAUCAAACCGGGAGAUAGCUGGUUCUCCCCGAAAGCUAUUUAGGUAGCGCCUCGUGAAUUCAUCUCCGGGGGUAGAGCACUGUUUCGGCAAGGGGGUCAUCCCGACUUACCAACCCGAUGCAAACUGCGAAUACCGGAGAAUGUUAUCACGGGAGACACACGGCGGGUGCUAACGUCCGUCGUGAAGAGGGAAACAACCCAGACCGCCAGCUAAGGUCCCAAAGUCAUGGUUAAGUGGGAAACGAUGUGGGAAGGCCCAGACAGCCAGGAUGUUGGCUUAGAAGCAGCCAUCAUUUAAAGAAAGCGUAAUAGCUCACUGGUCGAGUCGGCCUGCGCGGAAGAUGUAACGGGGCUAAACCAUGCACCGAAGCUGCGGCAGCGACACUAUGUGUUGUUGGGUAGGGGAGCGUUCUGUAAGCCGUUGAAGGUGUGCUGUGAGGCAUGCUGGAGGUAUCAGAAGUGCGAAUGCUGACAUAAGUAACGAUAAAGCGGGUGAAAAGCCCGCUCGCCGGAAGACCAAGGGUUCCUGUCCAACGUUAAUCGGGGCAGGGUGAGUCGACCCCUAAGGCGAGGCCGAAAGGCGUAGUCGAUGGGAAACAGGUUAAUAUUCCUGUACUUGGUGUUACUGCGAAGGGGGGACGGAGAAGGCUAUGUUGGCCGGGCGACGGUUGUCCCGGUUUAAGCGUGUAGGCUGAUUUUCCAGGCAAAUCCGGAGAAUCAAGGCUGAGGCGUGAUGACGAGGCACUACGGUGCUGAAGCAACAAAUGCCCUGCUUCCAGGAAAAGCCUCUAAGCAUCAGGUAACAUCAAAUCGUACCCCAAACCGACACAGGUGGUCAGGUAGAGAAUACCAAGGCGCUUGAGAGAACUCGGGUGAAGGAACUAGGCAAAAUGGUGCCGUAACUUCGGGAGAAGGCACGCUGAUAUGUAGGUGAAGCGACUUGCUCGUGGAGCUGAAAUCAGUCGAAGAUACCAGCUGGCUGCAACUGUUUAUUAAAAACACAGCACUGUGCAAACACGAAAGUGGACGUAUACGGUGUGACGCCUGCCCGGUGCCGGAAGGUUAAUUGAUGGGGUCAGCCGCAAGGCGAAGCUCUUGAUCGAAGCCCCGGUAAACGGCGGCCGUAACUAUAACGGUCCUAAGGUAGCGAAAUUCCUUGUCGGGUAAGUUCCGACCUGCACGAAUGGCGUAAUGAUGGCCAGGCUGUCUCCACCCGAGACUCAGUGAAAUUGAACUCGCUGUGAAGAUGCAGUGUACCCGCGGCAAGACGGAAAGACCCCGUGAACCUUUACUAUAGCUUGACACUGAACAUUGAGCCUUGAUGUGUAGGAUAGGUGGGAGGCUUUGAAGUGUGGACGCCAGUCUGCAUGGAGCCGACCUUGAAAUACCACCCUUUAAUGUUUGAUGUUCUAACGUGGACCCGUGAUCCGGGUUGCGGACAGUGUCUGGUGGGUAGUUUGACUGGGGCGGUCUCCUCCUAAAGAGUAACGGAGGAGCACGA
rnacentral:rRNA from 1 species